rnacentral:lncRNA from 1 species
GCGCCACUCUGAUUUAAUAUCCCCGAUCAACCCUUUUAUCACACUUAAUUAAUCAAAAGCAGAUGAAGUAGGAGGACUAAAUGUCCUCGUCAUCCUAGAUUCCUAAAAUGCAUCAAAGAAAAUUUCCACCGAUCACUAUAGUUCACUAGACCUCAAUAUAUUUUGCACGUCAACAUAUCAAAUAUUUCAGUGAUCCUCAAACCAUGCUCUGAUACCAC